CGUGUAGGCGGUUUUUUAAGUCUGAUGUGAAAGCCCUGGGCUCAACCCGGGAAGUGCAUUGGAAACUGGGAGACUUGAAUACGGGAGAGGGUAGUGGAAUUCCUGGUGUAGGAGUGAAAUCCGUAGAUAUCAGGAGGAACACCGGUGGCGAAGGCGGCUACCUGGACCGAUAUUGACGCUGAGACGCGAAAGCGUGGGGAGCAAACAGGAUUAGAUACCCUGGUAGUCCACGCCGUAAACGAUGAGUACUAGGUGUCGCGGGUAUUGACCCCUGCGGUGCCGCAGCUAACGCAUUAAGUACUCCGCCUGGGAAGUACGGCCGCAAGGCUAAA
rnacentral:rRNA from 1 species